rnacentral:rRNA from 1 species
CCUACGGGAGGCAGCAGUAGGGAAUAUUGCACAAUGGGGGAAACCCUGAUGCAGCGACGCCGCGUGGGGGAAGAAGUUUUUCGGAUUGUAAACUCCUUUUGUUAGAGAAGAUAAUGACGGUAUCUAACGAAUAAGCACCGGCUAACUCCGUGCCAGCAGCCGCGGUAAUACGGAGGAUGCGAGCGUUAUCCGGAUUUAUGGGGUUUAAAGGGUGCGCAGGCGGAGGUGCAAGUCAGAGGUCAAAGUGCGGGGCUCAACCCCGUACUGCCGUUGAAAAUGCAUCCCUUGAGUGCGCGAGAAGUAUGCGGAAGUCGUGGUGUAGCGGUGAAAUGCAUAGAUAUCACGAAGAACGCCGAUUGCGAAGGCAGCAUACCGGCGCGCAACUGACGCUGAUGCACGAAAGCGUGGGUAUCGAACAGGAUUAGAUACCCCAGUAGUC